rnacentral:misc_RNA from 1 species
UCCGACUUAACGUCGGCAGUCUGUUUAGAGUGCCCAACUGAAUGCUGGCAACAUAAGAUAAGGGUUGCGCUCGUUGCGGGACUUAACCCAACAUCUCACGACACGAGCUGACGACAGCCAUGCACCACCUGUAUAGGGCCCUUACGGACCUGCUAUCUCUAGCAGUUUUCCCUAUAUGUCAAAUCCAGGUAAGGUUCUUCGCGUUGCAUCGAAUUAAUCCGCAUGCUCCGCCGCUUGUGCGGGUCCCCGUCAAUUCCUUUGAGUUUUAACCUUGCGGCCGUACUCCCCAGGCGGCUCACUUCACGCGUUAGCUACGGUACCAAGGAAUCGCUUCCCCAACACCUAGUGAGCAUCGUUUAGGGCGUGGACUAC